rnacentral:rRNA from 1 species
CCUACGGGUGGCAGCAGUGGGGAAUAUUGGUCAAUGGGCGCAAGCCUGACCCAGCAACGCCGCGUGAAGGAAGAAGGCUUUCGGGUUGUAAACUUCUUUUCUCAGGGACGAAGCAUGUGACGGUACCUGAGGAUUAAGCCACCGCUAACUACGUGCCAGCCGCCGCGGUGAUACGUCGGUGGCAAGCGUUAUCCGGAUUUACGGGGUGUAAAGGGCGUGUAGGCGGGGACGAAAGUCAGAUGUGAAAUCCACGGGCUCAACCUGUGAACUGCAUUUGAAACCGUGUUUCUUGAGUACUGGGGAGGCAGACGGAAUGCCUAGUGUAGCGGUGAAAUGCGUAGAUAUUAGGAGGAACACCGGUGGCGAAGGCAGUCUGC